rnacentral:rRNA from 1 species
GACAGAGGGUGCGAACGUUGUUCGGAAUUACUGGGCGUAAAGCGCGUGUAGGCGGUCGUGUAAGUCGGAUGUGAAAGCCCAGGGCUCAACCCUGGAAGUGCACUCGAAACUGCAUGACUUGAGUAUCGGAGAGGGAGGCGGAAUUCUCGGUGUAGAGGUGAAAUUCGUAGAUAUCGAGAGGAACACCAGUGGCGAAGGCGGCCUCCUGGACGAUGACUGACGCUGAGACGCGAAAGCGUGGGGAGCAAACAGGAUUAGAUACCCCCGUA